CUGUAUUAUGCUUCUCUUAUAUUUAUUAAAGUUUAUUUUCAUUUCUGAUUGGUGUAUGGACGGACUGGGAUUUGACUAAUCAAUAAAUUGUGUAUAAUAUUAUUUUGGUUAAAGUAUUUGGUAUAAUUUGUGAGAAUUGCGAUUUUUAAUCUCUCCAGUAGUCCAUCCUUUUAUUCCUUAGCAAUGUAGUCCUACAAUAUUUCUCUGAGCUUUUUGCUUCUCUUCGAUCUUAAUUGUUGAUAUAACUGUUCGCAAGUUGUCUUUUUAUUUUAACUUGAUACUUUUUAUUUGUUUGCAUCUUGUGUGAUUUUAGUUUCUCAUUAACUUAUUGUUUUGUCAACUAUUGAGUCAAUGUCUGCAACUAGCUCUUCGAACACGGAAUGUACCUUCCUUUUAAUAACUGCUAACGUUGGUUCCCUAUUUGAAGAUCCUGAAGGUCUUCUUAAAUUGUGGCUCGAUGAAUUUUUCAAGACCAUCAGUCAAAAGAAUCCAAUGUUUAUAGCAUUACACUGUCAAGAGGUUGGCGGAAAAACUUAUGAAAUAUCCAUGAAAAAUGUACAGCAAUUUGUCAACUACCUCGUCGAGAGCGAGACUUUGCAAAACUAUUCAAAUGCUCGAGUUUUUCUGGAUGAAGACUUUACUUGCACCAAGAACUUCACGGCUCUUGGAAGUUUCUACUUUAUUCAUGAAGCUUUAAAGAACGUCAAAAUUUGGAAUUUUCAAGAUCGAAACUUUCAUCCAGUUCUUGGAAAAGAAAUAUUUUCCGGAAAUAUUGAAGCAGUUUCCUUCAAAGAAAAAGCCAAAUUCCCUCAAGAAUUUUUUCCAGAGUGCAAAUGGUCACGGAAGGGUUUCAUGAGAACUCGAUGGUUUUGCAACGAUACUAUUUACGAUUUAACCAAUAUUCAUCUGUUUCAUGAUGCUUCCAAUUUCAUUGCCAUGGAAUCGUUUCCUUCAUCUUACUCAACAAUAAGGUUUAAUGCUUUACAAUAUGUUUUGGAUAGAUUUGCGAAUGAUGUCUACGAAAAAGUUCCUCUAUUCAUUUUUGGAGAUUUCAAUUUUAGACUAGAUACUAAAGCUGUUAUCCAGAGAAUCACUCAAAAUUUCGCCGAAGUACAAAUGAGAAAUAAAAAUGAUGGUGCCAUAGAAAAGAUACUUUAUAAUGAUCCUCAAUCGGACGAUAAAACGGUAUUAACUCUCGAGAAAAAAGUAUUUGAUCUUAUUGAUCAUGACGGAAUUUUUCUCAAUGAGAAAAAUCAUGAUUGGCUUCUAGACCUGGACAAAGAGGUUAAAUCAUUUGAAGAUCUACUAUUUGAAUGUAAAAUUAGUUUCCCUCCAAGUUAUCCGUUCACUGAAGAAACAACAAGUUCAUCUUACAUGAGAACUCGAUGUCCUGCUUGGUGUGAUAGAAUCCUUAUGAACAAGUCUGCCAUGGAUUUAAUUAAGAGUCAGUGCAACUCAUCGGAAAAUUGUGUUAAAUAUGAAAUGAUUGGAAAAAAUGUUCCAAUGGGUGAUCACAAGCCUAUUUCUCUGUGGUUUAAACUGGUUUCCAGUGCAGGUAAAUGGCGAAGUGGUUUUGCAUUGUUACCCAAACGAAAACGAGAUGAUUCCUUGCAUGAUUGUGAUUAUGAAAAUAAUAAUAGUGAUAGAUCUAAACCACGCCUGAGAACCUUUUCCAUUCCCUCAAUCAGUCGGCCUAUCAAAUCACACCCUAAAGCACGUAGAACAGCUUCAGCUGUCUCAAGUUGCAAACCAAUUUAUCACAAUCAAGAUUGGUACCAUAAAACCCAAGAGUUGUUUCGUUUGUUUCGAGAGUCAACCUGUAAUUUAACCAAAGCUUCAUCAAGCAGAUUAACGAGUCAUCAUUCAAGCUCAUCAGAAGAAUGGUAUUCUGAUUUACCUGUAGAUCUCAAUAAUCUAAAUAAUGUUAACCUUCAAAAUAGCAAUCAAAGUAAUACGGGUAAAUUUGGUACAUCGGAUUAUCCAAUGGAAACUGAGUUGAAAUCAAAUUAUUUGGAUAGGCCAAAAAAGUCAAAAGGACAUCAUUCACUUGAACAUCGAUUAAGUGAUGUUAAGGAAAGCUUAGAGUUGAAUGAUGGCCAAGAAGAUAUGAAUGAAUUAAACCCAGACAUUGCCAAUAGCAAACAACCUUUAGAUUCUGAUUUCUCUGCAAAUGGUAUCGAAAGCAAAUCAAACUUAAGUUCCAAGAAAAUAAAUACCAAGAGUAACUCAAAAGUGAUCAAUAACAAACGACGAGAAUCUUGUCCUAAAUUUUGCUCCUUGUUGUAAAUUGAAGGCAGACUGGAAAAGGCAAGCGAAAUGAAAGUGAAUCAACUGAAUCAACUCUCGAGACAAUCUUGUCACCAUUGCACACUCAACCGUUUUUUAUUCCUCAUCUAGAUCAUCAUUUCCAUUAUUUUAAAGCCUGUUUAAACAAAGCCUGUUUUUUCUUAUUGUUACCCUGCCUUGAUUUGAAAUUGAUAAAUAAUCACCGUUAUACUUAACAAUCCAGAAUACCGACUCAGUCUUGGACAAUUUUAAAUUAACUUAAUUAUUGUUAAAGUUGUUUUUGUUCUUUCUUUAUUUUUUUAUCCUCCAAUUUGUUGAAUCCUUUUAGUGCCUUUAAAUGCAUCUUGGCUUGUUAAACCACAUUUCUCAUCUGAGCACAGUUUUUAUGCAAAUAUUUUGAUUGAUACAAACGAUAAUGAAAAAAUUGUUACAGUUUUUGGCCUUUGUCACAUCAAGACAACGGCUUUUUCAUGAGAUGAUUAUCAAUCUUUCAAAAUAUGAGUUAAGACGCUUUACCAGCACCAACUUUAUUUUGUACGCACCAAAUGGUCGCUUGAAUCUCAUCAACUGAUUGCAUGUACCUUAAAUCAGUUUCAGGCUCAAUCCUUUCUGGUACAAAAGACGACACUCAAAGCCAAUCAGGAAAAGAUUACUCUGGAAACAACAAUCGCAAAGAAACCAAUUUAAAUGAUGAUAAAGAUGAAGCUUCUGGUAUUAAGGAUGAAACUGGUACUCGAUAUGUAUGCGUUAUGUGUGGUGAUAAAGAAGUUCCUGUUUUCAGAGAAACAACUGUUUAGUUUGUCCAGAUUGUCUAAUCUCUAUCCUAAAAAUUAUACAAUCAAUGAAAACCAUCGACAUGAUUUUAUAUUGAGCCUGGAUAUUUAAUAUUCAAUUUUUUCCGUACCAUUCGAUUUAAAUCUGUCCUCUUGAAACAAAUCAAAUUUAUCCAAUGUUUCAUGAUUAUGUUUGGAUGUGUUUGUAGGCCAAUCUAGUAAUAAUCUUUCAAUUAUCUGAACAGUUUUGAACAAAAACUGACAAAUCUCCAUAUCCACAUCUCUUUUAGUUAAUUAUUUGAGUUUACUAUGACACUAUUUACAGUAUGAGCUGUUUUUUAAUGUUGACCUAAUCUUGAACACUUCAAGAAAAUUUUUGAGAACUAAUUUAGUUCAUUCAUCAUGUUGACCAUUGAUUGAUUAGCUAAUGAACAAUAAUGUGAUUCUUUUGGAAUCUGUCUCAUCUUAUUGACCAAUUCAUUUCUGUUGGAUUUACUUAAUUUCAUCAGUCAAGCUAUCUGAAUGCAUGACAAGAGAGAUAUCUUAAUUAAACUGGUAAUCAAUAUAUGAUAAAUACAAAAGGCUUCCAAUUCCAUAUCAGGAUUUGAUCCAUUUUAAUCGUAAUUGUAAAUUUUUAGGUUGAAAUGGAGCAACUCUAAAACACGAGUAAAAUAUUGAAAUUUGCAACUCAAAAGAAGAUAAAACUAACCGGCAAUUAAAUUAUAAUCACAUUGAUCAAGAAACAAUUUUUUUCUGUGUGUUCUGUUUACUGUCAAAACAAGCAUCUUGUCAAAAUAAUUCAACUAAUCGUCAUAAUAAAAAGAUAACACCAACAAGAACAAAUAAAAGAAAUCAUGAGUUA